AAAGCGGUAUCCGAAAAGCUUCAAUAGAGUAGGAA
rfam:Chryseobacterium sp. MOF25P AB670_contig000067, whole genome shotgun sequence.